UAGGGAAUCUUCCACAAUGGGAGCAAGCCUGAUGGAGCAACACCGCGUGAGUGAAGAAGGGUUUCGGCUCGUAAAGCUCUGUUGUUAAAGAAGAACACGUAUGAGAGUAACUGUUCAUACGUUGACGGUAUUUAACCAGAAAGUCACGGCUAACUACGUGCAAG
rnacentral:rRNA from 1 species